ACGGGUGAGUAACACGUGACUAACCUACCCUUGAGUGGGGAAUAACCUAGGGAAACCUGGGCUAAUACCGCAUAACACCUACGGGUCAAAGGAGCAAUUCGCUUAAGGAGGGGGUCGCGGCAGAUUAGCUAGUUGGCGGGGUAAUGGCCCACCAAGGCAGUGAUCUGUAUCCGGCCUGAGAGGGCGCACGGACACACUGGAACUGAAACACGGUCCAGACUCCUACGGGAGGCAGCAGUGGGGAAUUUUGCGCAAUGGGGGAAACCCUGACGCAGCAACGCCGCGUGGAGGAUGAAGCCCCUUGGGGCGUAAACUCCUUUCGACCAAGACGAUAAUGACGGUACUGGUGGAAGAAGCACCGGCUAACUCUGUGCCAGCAGCCGCGG
rnacentral:rRNA from 1 species